CACGCUAAUAAUGAUUUUGGGAGCAUUUCUGAUGGCAUCAUCAAUUUUUCUUCCCAAGGUGGUUAUCGCAGAGUCUCGCGCGUCCAAGGGUCGUGAUUAUGCCACGUGGCGACUCCUAAAUUCGUCUUCCAAUGGGAACUUCUCUUUUAAUUAUGGUUCUGUUUCUUCUUGGUUUGCAAUUACUUCAUCAUAGACGAGGUAAGGCUUUAAUCUUCUCAUUUUUCAUCAUAUUUGUUGCUUCCUACUGCUUAUACCCUUCCCCCUCUGGCCAUGUCGAAGAAAGGUAAGGGAAUGAACGUUUCCGGGUCGCUGGAGGAAUUUCGCCCGGAGUUCAAUAUCCCGCUUUCACUGAAUCUCCAUUUUGUUGAGGAUGGUGAGGUUAAUUUUAUCAUGGGAAGCCCUGAUAAAGGGGAAAUGUUGUUGUCAAAGAGUUAUUUUGAGGUUGGUCUCAAGUUGCCACUACCUCCCUUGUUCAAAGACAUCGUGAACCACCUUCAUCUUGCCCCAAACCAAUUGUGUAUUAACAUGAUAAGGUUAACUAUGUCCUUGGCCGUUCUGGAUCAUAUGAGGGGUUUGGGCAUUUCGGUCAUAGAUGUGUUUUACAUCUGUACUGCGAUGAGGUCUCACAUUCCACAUGAAUGGUACAUGUCUCCCUACCUAGGCAUGAGCUGCUUUAUCAUAGGUGCGCCUUUAACAAACAAGGACCUUGGCCGGGGUUUGGUAGUAGUAUCAGGUAAGUGGGAGUUUGGCAUUUCGGAACCUGAGGGUCUUCCAAAAGUUCCAAGAGUUCACAAUGUUGCGAGUGUGUGUCAAUGUUGAUUGGGUCUUUCAAGCUGAUUGUUUUGUUUCGUUGGCUCUUUCCUUGGGGUUUCAGUCAAUUGCGAGUUCAUUUGAUAUUGAUAGAACUCUUCAAGAUUAGAAAGUCUUGCUAAAACCCUCUCAGUAUACGCCACUUGGAUCUUUUGGCCUUAUUUUUUUGCCUCUUGUCUGUCUUUCAUUAAACCUGAAGAACCACUGCCGUUGGAGAGAAAGUUUUUGCUCCCUGCUCUUUCUAUUGCUGAGCGCUUAAAGAGGAAACAAUAGCAACUUGCUUUAAAGCCAUCCUCUUCGGAAGGAAAAUCUCAAAAUGUUGGGUUUAGCACUGGUGGUUCUGUGGGUUGUCCUGCAGUUCCAGGUUUUCCCAGCAGAAUUCACUCAAUCAGUAGAGUGACUCUCUCUUCUAUCUCUGCACCUAAGAGUAAACUGUCCUCGUGUUCCAGUCCAAUCAAUCUUAUUGGUGGUAUCGAAGUCCCAGAGGGUUCGGUUAAGUCUAAGGUUCCUAUUUUUAAUGAAGCCAAAGUCGACUCUGCUGCUAUGAACAAACGAUUUCUUUUACAGAAAUAUUCAACUUUGCCUCAUUUGCUUCCUGGUUUAGAUUUGAAGAAAACAAAGAAAGUUACUUCUCAUGCCAUGACCGUUAAGGAUGAUCUACUUCCAAUUAUUGAGGUGGGAAGGCGAACAUUAAUGUCAGGGGAUUCCAAGUUCAUGUCUAAUCUCUCCGACUUGGCUGUGAUGGACAAGUCCAUUGGGUUGUGCUAUAAGGUAUAUUGAAGUUUUAACUUAUUCUGGGAAUUUCACAAUGUAUAUGCUUGAUUGUAUUGUCUUCUGUUUUUCUUUCAAGCAUUUCGAUUUAAUUUUGACGUUUGUCGACGCCUCACAUCUUCUCAAUUUGAUCACGUCGAGUUGAGGAGUCAAAAUAAGAGUUUUUCGUUGAGCUUAAUUAACACGACCGAAGAACUCUCCCAGCUUACAACAAAACUGGAGCUUGAACGUGGCAUUGUUGCUAAUUAUUAAUAAGAAUUUUCUCGAUUGAAGGAGCGCAUAGCUGAAUUUGAGUCUCAUCUUGUUGUUUUGCUUGGAGAAAAAUGAGGAAUUAAGCAAUCCCUUAAAGAAACCAGAUAUGCCAAGGUGUUGUGUGAGACCAAUCUUCUUCGCUUGCAAAAGAGUUGGUCUAAGAAGGAAGAUCUUUGUGAUAGGGUGUACAAACAACUAACCAGCGAUCUCCUAGCUCGGGACAAGCAAAAUCAAAAUUAAGGGUGGUGAUAUCCAUUUAUUCCUUUUCCUCCCAAUCUUUUUCCUUCUAUAUUAUUCUUGUACACGACACGCAUAGAGGAGUAGCCUGGUCACGAGAUGUUAGGAGUGAUCACGAGCCAAUCUGCAGGCUUUUAAACUAAAUGCCAAAGAUGGGGAUGCGGCAGAUGACAUUGUCCCUUUGACAGUCAGGUCUGGUAUUUCGCCCAACCUGGAGUUGGUUGCUUAUGGGUGCACCCUCCUACCAAGGUACCCAGUUGUAGGUUGAUCACGUGCUGAAGUGGUCCAAUUAAUUUUUGGUAGCUCCAAAGCGUUUGUGUUAGGUUAGAGUGAGGCACAUUUGACGUUGGGUAUAGAGUCCUCUGACCCCCUAGAGUUCGGGUCUAGUAGCAAAUCUGAGAGUCCGUCUGAGUAAUUUUUUGUGGACGACCCGUCAUUUGGUACAAGUGGUGGCCUAACCAAGUCCGACCUUGAGAACUUGGCUUGAUUGGAGGUCAACCAACAGAGGGGCAGGAUAAGGUCACUGCUGGAGAUCCCAUUUCUGGGAACAAAAGAAGAUGUUCAAGCCAAGGGUGGAGCCCUUCAUGUGCUCUCUAUGGCGAGCUUAUCUUUCCCCAAAGACAAAGGUGGGGUUUUAGAGAUUAACAUCAAUGUGUUUUCAAAGAGAACCAAGUCACUUAUUACUCUACCACUAGGCUGGGGGUUGCUUUUUUGCCUUUUUAACCUACUGUGAUAAGGCGACUCUUUUUGUAUUUCGUUAGCUUUGGUGCAUAUGUUAGGCUUCUUUUAAUUUGCCAUGCUAUUUUGGAUAAUUAUGAAUGCAUGUCAAUAUGUUUACUGGUUCACGCUUAAUCAAAUAUUUUCUAAUA